CUCAAAGACGGUCUUGGCGGCAUAGCCCUGGACGUCAUCACGGUUGGUGACGAUCUGUAGCACACGGUACCACACCUCCUCACUCACGUAGUCGCCCGCAAUGCGGAUGAGGUUGAGGAUGGUGUCCACGUACCAGCUGUAGUCCACGGCGUACUUCUCGGCCAGGAUGGCCACCUUCAGGACCUGCCGCCGGGGCGUGUGAGAGAGAGUGUGCCGCAGGCCAUGUCGGGCUUUCACUCACCUGGAUCUGGGCUCACCACUGCCCCCAUCUGGAGACCCAGGAGUCCAGGCCCCAGCCCCUCCUCCCUUAGACUUAGGAAUCCAGGCCCCCAGCCACCUCCUGCCUCAGACCCAAGAGUCCAGCCCGCACCCCACAGCACUCACGAUCUCCUCGCGGAUGGCGUAGUCUGCCGUCUCCAGGUACCGCAGCAUCUCCGACACGAUCUGCUUGGCAUUGCUCCGGUCACACAUGGCGUAGAGGAGGUCAGCCGCCCGCUGCCGCACGCUGACGUCCCGCUCCGUCUGAGGGCGGAGAGCAGAGCCCAGAGAUGGGGUUUUGCCAUGUUGGCCAGACUGGUCUCGAAUUCCUGAGCUCAAGUGAUCCUUCUACCUCGGCCUCCCAGAUUGCUGGGAUUACAGGCGUGAGCCACUGUGCCUGGCCCAGAACAACAUAUUUAAAGGCAAAACAUCAUGAUGUCUGUAAUUUACUUUUAAAUAUUUCAGAAGAAAAUAAACAAGAGCAUGCAUACAUGGCAAAA